AUAGUGCAUGAAAAGAGCGAAGGUUAGCACUCCCUUGACAAGUAUGGAAGAGGCCCUUGGGCCUGACGACAAGUAUAUGGUUAAGGCAUUGCCACCGAUUUUGUGGCAUCUAAUCAUCAUUUUUU
ensembl:snRNA